rnacentral:tRNA from 1 species
GCCCCUGUAGCUCAAUGGAUAGAGCGACCGCCUCCUAAGCGGUAGAUCCAGGUUCGAUUCCCGGCUGGGGUA